UACGUAGGGUGCAAGCGUUAAUCGGAAUUACUGGGCGUAAAGCGUGCGCAGGCGGUUUUGUAAGUCUGUUGUGAAAUCCCCGGGCUUAACCUGGGAAUUGCAAUGGAGACUGCAAGGCUGGAGUCUGGCAGAGGGGGGGUAGAAUUCCACGUGUAGCAGUGAAAUGCGUAGAGAUGUGGAGGAACACCGAUGGCGAAGGCAGCCCCCUGGGUCAAGACUGACGCUCAUGCA
rnacentral:rRNA from 1 species